AUUGAACGCUGGCGGCAGGCCUAUCACAUGCAAGUCGAACGAGUGGCGGACGGGUGAGUAAUGUCUGGGAAACUGCCCGAUGGAGGGGGAUAACUACUGGAAACGGUAGCUAAUACCGCAUACCAUCGGAUGUUCCCAGAUUGGAUUAGCUAGUAGGUGGGGUAACGGCUCACCGAGGCGACGAUCCCUAGCUGGUCUGAGAGGAUGACCAGCGACACUGGGACUGAGACACGGUCCAGACUCCUACGGGAGGCAGCAGUGGGGAAUAUUGCACAAUGGGCGCAAGCCUGAUGCAGCCAUGCCGCGGGUAUGAAGAAGGCCUUCGGGGUGUAAAGUACUUUCAGCGAGGAGGCGUUACUCGCAGAAGAAGCACCGGCUAACUCCGUGCCAGCAGCCGCGGUAAUUC
rnacentral:rRNA from 1 species